rnacentral:rRNA from 1 species
CACGUAGGGCGCAAGCGUUGUCCGGAAUUAUUGGGCGUAAAGAGCUCGUAGGCGGUCUGUUGCGUCCGCUGUGAAAACCCGGGGCUUAACCCCUGGCUUGCAGUGGAUACGGACAGACUAGAGGUAGGUAGGGGAGAAUGGAAUUCCCGGUGUAGCGGUGAAAUGCGCAGAUAUCGGGAGGAACACCGGUGGCGAAGGCGGUUCUCUGGGCCUUACCUGACGCUGAGGAGCGAAAGCGUGGGUAGCAAACAGG